ACGAACGCUGGCGGCGUGCCUAAUACAUGCAAGUAGAACGCUGAAGAGAGGAGCUUGCUCUUCUUGGAUGAGUUGCGAACGGGUGAGUAACGCGUAGGUAACCUGCCUUGUAGCGGGGGAUAACUAUUGGAAACGAUAGCUAAUACCGCAUAACAAUGGAUGACACAUGUCAUUUAUUUGAAAGGGGCAAUUGCUCCACUACAAGAUGGACCUGCGUUGUAUUAGCUAGUAGGUGAGGUAAUGGCUCACCUAGGCGACGAUACAUAGCCGACCUGAGAGGGUGAUCGGCCACACUGGGACUGAGACACGGCCCAGACUCCUACGGGAGGCAGCAGUAGGGAAUCUUCGGCAAUGGGGGCAACCCUGACCGAGCAACGCCGCGUGAGUGAAGAAGGUUUUCGGAUCGUAAAGCUCUGUUGUAAGUCAAGAACGGGUGUGAGAGUGGAAAGUUCACACUGCGACGGUAGCUUACCAGAAAGGGACGGCUAACUACGUG
rnacentral:rRNA from 1 species